rnacentral:rRNA from 1 species
GACGAACGCUGGCGGCAGGCCUAACACAUGCAAGUCGAACGAGUGGCGGACGGGUGAGUAAUGUCUGGGAAACUGCCCGAUGGAGGGGGAUAACUACUGGAAACGGUAGCUAAUACCGCAUACCAUCGGAUGUGCCCAGAUGGGAUUAGCUAGUAGGUGGGGUAACGGCUCACCUGGGCGACGAUCCCUAGCUGGUCUGAGAGGAUGACCAGCCACACGGGAACUGAGCACCGGUCCAGACUCCUACGGAAGGAAGAAGAGGGGAACAUUGCACAAUGGGCGAAAGCCUGAUGCAGCCAUGCCGCGUGUAUGAAGAAGUCCUUCGGGUUGUAAAGUACUUUCAGCGAGGAGGCGGUACUCGCAGAAGAAGCACCGGCUAACUCCGUGCCAGCAGCCGCGGUAAUAC